GUUGUAUGGUUAAGUGACUAAGCGUACACGGUGGAUGCCUUGGCAGUUGGAGGCGAUGAAGGACGUACUAACUUGCGAUAAGCCUAGUCAAGCCAGUAAGAGGCGCUUGAGACUAGGAUUUCCGAAUGGGGAAACCCACCUGCUUGCAGGUAUCGUUAACUGAAUACAUAGGUUAACGAGGCGAACGCGGAGAACUGAAACAUCUAAGUACCCGUAGGAAAAGAAAUCAACCGAGAUUCCGAAAGUAGCGGCGAGCGAAAUCGGAGCAGCCCUUAAGCUUUAGUGUAGUUAGUGGAACAUGCUGGAAAGCAUGACGAAACAGGGUGAUAGUCCCGUACACAAAAACUUAUCUAAAGUGAAAUCGAGUAGGUCGGAGCACGUGAAACUUUGACUGAAUAUGGGGGGACCAUCCUCCAAGGCUAAAUACUCCCAACUGACCGAUAGUGAACCAGUACCGUGAGGGAAAGGCGAAAAGAACCCCUGUGAGGGGAGUGAAAUAGAACCUGAAACCGUGUACGUACAAGCAGUAGGAGCC
rnacentral:rRNA from 1 species